GUUCUCUGGGGACACAGAAUACUAUAGGAGUGCUGCAAACACAGAGGCUCUGCCCUUCUUCCAGCCCCAGCCCAGCACAACUUAGCUCUGGCUGCCCCUUCUGUGCAUCAGCUGAAAUUUCCCCCAGGAGAUAGAAUGAGCAUGUGACGAUCAACUACUUGGAGCCAAACAUUUUAUGUCCUCCUGAGUCAACUUGUGAAGCCACAUAUAUGAGACAGGGAGCUGCUAUGUGGAUGUGACUCUUGGAACCGAGGGGCCAUCCUGAGAACCUAGUAGGAACCAGGCUAAUAGGAUAAGCAGGCUAUCUUCAUGGCUAGGAUCGUCCUGAGGCAUCAACAGCAGGUCUUCACAGAUCAUUUUGGACUAUGUGCCUUCCUCUGGACAUUUACGUUCACGAAGAGUUCUAACCCUCUCACCUGGCCAUUGAGAGUCAGAGAGGAAAGAAGCCAGCACUUAUCAGCACAAAUAGUAAGAAACUUACAGACCUAUUAUGCUUAUUAAAGCACAAAUAAUGAAAUUUAAAUGCCAGGGA